rnacentral:RNase_P_RNA from 1 species
GGAGUCGGCCAGGCAAUCGCUGGUCGCAAGACUGGAGGAAAGUCCGGGCUCCACAGGACAGGGUGCCAGGUAACGCCUGGGAGGCGUGAGCCUAUGGCCAGUGCAACAGAGAGUAGACCGCCAGUGGUUUCGGCUGCUGGUAAGGGUGAAAGGGUGCGGUAAGAGCGCACCGCGCGGGUGGUAACAUUCCGUGGCUAGGUAAACCCCACCUGGAGCAAGACCAAAUAGGGGGACGUUGAGGCGGUCCGUCGAGUCCCCGGGUAGGUCGCAUGAGGAUGCUGGUGACAGCAUUCCCAGAUGAAUGAUUGCCCAAGACAGAACCCGGCUUAUCGGCCGACUCCCUUU